UAAAGGUGGCAGGAAUAUACGCCAAAGGCUUUGCAAUUCGCCCCAAGCAUCGAGGGACGAAUCAAAAGUCUCCCCACCCGAGAAAAUGCAACGCUACAUGGCCUCAAUCAUACACGUAUUACUUUACAUAUUAGAAAAUUCUGAAAGAACGUCACGAGAUAUCAACCUCAAAAAUUAUGAAAAUUGAAGGCAGUCGCCCUUGCAGACUGCUCCAAAACUAGCAUACUCGAUAUAUGGAUACUGGUAUAAAUGUAUACCUAGCGAAGUCGUCGAUCAGCCGCCCUUGCAAGCUGUCUGAAACAUGUUUUACAACGUGGUAGCAGUAGCCCCUGCUAACUGUCUUGUCAUUAUUAAACUGAGUA